rnacentral:lncRNA from 10 species
GUACCCGAGGCCGGGCCGGAGCCGCAGGCCAGCCGCGAUUCCUUCGGGCGAUGCUGGGGGCUUUCCGGUCGGGGCCGCAGCCGCUUCCGGAGCCGCGGGCGAGGUGCGUUCCCCAGCCUGGUUUGCUCUGGGCUCUGACCCGCCGCCGCGAAUCUCCGCUCGUAACUCCGGGCCUGAACCUGGAGGAGGGAGGAUUUCCUCUGUGCAGCUUUCGAGCGGUAGACUCACCCUGCCAGGCAGACCUAGAUUGGCAUAACCAGAGAUCAGUUCCAGUUGUGAUGCAGUGGGUGUCUACACACUUCUGAUGACACCUUUAUUUUAAAAGCUGAUGUUCCAAGGUGAGAAGGGAGCUUCUUUGAGACGUCAUGUUGUUUCAAGACGAGUUUUAAUUUAAGGCAUUUCCAAAAGUGAUAUGCAGCUCAUCUCUCAGAAUACAAUGCCGGCAAUAACUACCCGUGGAGUCCUUACCAGGAGGUUUCUGCGUGAUUUGGGUUGUGCAGAAUUCCUCUGCUUAUAUAGAAACAGAAAGGUACUCCUCUGCAGGUCUAGUUUCUCUUCGGUAAAAUGUAAGGGAAUAUAACUGUGUUCCCACUUUCUUAGCAGCAGAAAUUUUUAAACCUAUAGAUUAUGCCCAAAGUCCUAAGUAAAAUCAAUGAAUGGCGUCCUCCAAUUACUUGGUUUUUAUUUAUGUACUUUUUUUUUUUUUUUUUGAGACGGAGUCUCGCUCUGUCGCCCAAGCUGUAGUGCAGGGGUGCGAUCUUGGCUCACUGCAAACUCCGCCUCCUGGGUUCACGCCAUUCUCCUCCUGCCUCAGCCUCCUGAGUAGUUGGGACUACAGGCGCCCGCCAUCACGCCCUGCUAAUUUUUUGUAUUUUUAGUAGAGUCGGGGUUUCACCGUGUUAGCCAGGAUGGUCUCGAUCUCCUGACCUCGUGAUCCGCCCACCUCCGCCUCUCCAAGUGCUGGGAUUACAGGCAUGAGCCACCGCGCCCGGCCCUUGUAUUUUUAAACUUUGACUUUAUGGAGACGAACACCAUCGUUUGCUGAACACUUGAAACAUGAUGAAAGAGCCACAGAGUUGGCAGAACUGUUUGAAAAUGCUGAAUGGAUUUUCUUCUGUGUAUUGCUGACACGAACAGGAGACGGAAAUACUGAGUAGAAGAGGGCGGUUCCCUGGCUAAGGCCCCACCCUCAAGCCUGGAUACCCGCGGCCCUAAAUGAGAAGAGGCGUUUCUGUUUGGGGC